rnacentral:rRNA from 1 species
AGUAAAAGUCGUAACAAGGUUUCCGUAGGUGAACCUGCGGAGGGAUCAUUACAAGUGACCCCGGUCUAACCACCGGGAUGUUCAUAACCCUUUGUUGUCCGACUCUGUUGCCUCCGGGGCGACCCUGCCUUCGGGCGGGGGCUCCGGGUGGACACUUCAAACUCUUGCGUAACUUUGCAGUCUGAGUAAAUUUAAUUAAUAAAUUAAAACUUUUAACAACGGAUCUCUUGGUUCUGGCAUCGAUGAAGAACGCAGCGAAAUGCGAUAAGUAAUGUGAAUUGCAGAAUUCAGUGAAUCAUCGAAUCUUUGAACGCAUAUUGCGCCCCCUGGUAUUCCGGGGGGCAUGCCUGUUCGAGCGUCAUUUCACCACUCAAGCCUCGCUUGGUAUUGGGCAACGCGGUCCGCCGCGUGCCUCAAAUCGACCGGCUGGGUCUUCUGUCCCCUAAGCGUUGUGGAAACUAUUCGCUAAAGGGUGCUCGGGAGGCUACGCCGUAAAACAAACCCAUUUCUAAGGUUGACCUCGGAUCAGGUAGGGAUACCCGCUGAACUUAAGCAUAUCAAUAAGCGGAGGA